rnacentral:rRNA from 1 species
UACGUAGGUGGCAAGCGUUGUCCGGAUUUACUGGGCGUAAAGAGCGCGCAGGCGGUCGUUCAAGUCGCGUGUGAAAGCCCCCGGCUCAACUGGGGAGGGUCACGCGAUACUGAUCGACUCGAAGGCAGGAGAGGGAAGUGGAAUUCCCGGUGUAGUGGUGAAAUGCGUAGAUAUCGGGAGGAACACCAGUGGCGAAGGCGACUUCCUGGCCUGUUCUUGACGCUGAGGCGCGAAAGCCAGGGGAGCGAACGGG